UCGCGGCUUAUCACCGGCAGUCCCCCUAGAGUUCCCAACUGAAUGUAGCAACUAAUGGCAAGGGUUGCGCUCGUUGCGGGACUUAACCCAACAUCUCACGACACGAGCCGACGACAGCCAUGCAGCACCUGUGUUACGGCUCUCUUUCGAGCACCCUCACAUCUCUAUGAGGUUCCGUACAUGUCAAGGGUAGGUAAGGUUUUUCGCGUUGCGUCGAAUUAAACCACAUGCUCCACCGCUUGUGCGGGCCCCCGUCAAUUCCUUUGAGUUUUAAUCUUGCGACCGUACUCCCCAGGCGGGAUGCUUAAUGCGUUAGCUGCGCCACUGACAGGCAAGCCUGCCAACGGCUAGCAUCCAUCGUUUACGGCGUGGACUAC
rnacentral:misc_RNA from 1 species